CUCCUGAGCUCAAGCGAUCCUCCUGCCUCGGCCUCCCAGAGAGCUGGGAUUACAGCCCUGAGCCACUGCACCUGACUGGAGUAAGUCUUGAUGACCAUUGCAAGAUAGUCAAGUCCCAACGCUCUCCUUCUACAAACAAGGAAACUGAAGUCUAGAGAGAAUAAGGAAUUUACCCAAGGACCAGAAUGAGAACCCAGGUCUCCAGAUUCUCUCCACGUGUUGCUUCCCUGAGCAUGUCUAGUGCAUGCGGUUCCUGCAUGAGGUCUCUAUGCUGGAGGUUUGGGACACCCAGGUAAGCCGAACAUGAUAUUUCGUGUCAAGGUUCUUAACGGUGCGGCGGAGGUGGGCGCUCUGGAAAGUGGCUCUCAGCAGUGUGGGAAGCACUCUGACCGAGGGUCCCACGGAGGGAGGAGUGGACUUUUGCGGGGCCUGAAAGAAUGACGAGGAGUUGGCCCAGUCAGGGAGGGCACUCCAGGCCGCGCAACCUGCCUGGCACCGGCCGGAGGCGCGGGCCCUGCAGCGUGCUCAGCAGCGAAGGGUAGUCUGCUGGGGAGCGGCGCGGGCCUGGACAGGAAAGUGGGACCCAGGCUCUGAAAGCCAGGAGAGGCACCCAGGCCUUGCCUGCCUGCAGUCCUCCCCGUUCCUUGAGUGGAGUCUCGCCUGUCUGUCCUUCAAGCUCUGCUGCCUCCGGCUCCAGAAGCCUUCCCAGGCCACUAGCUCCGCUUUCUGAUUGCUGUCGUUCUUGGGGUUACAGCAUUUAGCACCUUCCUUGGCAUUCUCAUACUGCUCUGUAGCAACAGAUCUUGACCUUUUGGGAGUCAGAGACCCCUCUGCAAGUCUGAGGAAAGGCUUGCUUCUCAUGCCAGGAAGAUGCACAGGUAUAUAAAAGCCCACAGUACGGAAUGCACUGUGGAGUUUUGAGCCCCCUGAAGCUGCUUUGGAAGGAAGAAAGGGACGAUUUCCAAACAACGGGGGAGGCAGGCACCUGCAAGGUAUCCGCUACACUUCUUACACCCCCAGGACUGAGUAGGCAGCCCAAGGAGGCAGAGAGAUUCAGAAUGAAGUUCGCCUUCUGAGAGUCCAAGUGUACAACCCAGACUGGACCCUCGGCCAGAGAGAGAGCCCUAAAUGGAUGUGGCGAUAUUUUUUAAGAAAGAACGUGUGCUUCUGAAGAAUGGUUGGGCAUCCAGGGAGGCGGGAGAGAGGAAGGAGGAGGAUCCCAGCAAGUCCAUCUUGCCCUGGUGCCGUGCAAGGCUGAAUCCUGCAACCGCGCUCCCGAGCAUGUUCUGGUUUGCAUCUGGCUUUCUGUGGCGUGUGCCUACAGGGAGCUGGUGUGUUGGCUGCAGGACACGUGCAUCUGGUCCCUUUGGCAGUUACAUUUCUCGUUGUAAAUUAGUAAAUUGGGAACAGACAAUUCACAGAAGAAGUGAUUCGAAUGACUAAUAAGCAUAUGAAGAAAAAAGUUCAUCCUCCCCAGUAUUCAAAGAAAUGUAAAUUCAAAUCAAAACCGAGAUUGUUUUCAACCUAUUAAAUUAGAAAGGAUUUCUUUUGUAAAGUUAGUACAUAUUGCUGGGAAAGGUGUGGUACCAGGGCACCCUGUCUUCUGCUGAUGGGAGGGUCAUGUGAUCUGCAAAGUGGGUGACUUGGGGCGCAUUGUGUGUGUCCUUUGAACUCCCACAGAUCAAUCAAGGCAAUCCCAUCUGGCGGAGAGGAAUGGCUGCAGGAGCCUCUUCAUGAAUUGAUUCAGCAAAUGUUCAUUGAGCACCUAGUAUGUGCCGGGCUUACAGGACACCAUCUAGGGUAGAGGCCACAUAGAAAUCUUUACCCCAAAUGCUGAAGGGUGUCAGACCACAAGGGAGGCUGGAAAAGGAGAGGAGAUGGAAGGGAUGGUGACAGGGACAAGAACUGGCUAAAUGUCACCUCUUCUGCCAGUCCCGUUCCCUUCUCCUGCUAGUUCUGGGGCUUGUCAGGCUUGACCACGCCCUGGAGCCUCAGGUGUUCUUGUUGGAACACCAGGAACUUCCUAGAGCUGAGGUCUUCAACCUCGGCCCACCCCUGGAGAGGCUGAUCUCAUAGUUCUGAUAUGGGCAUGGCUAUAGUAUUUUAAAAAAGCAUCCCAGGUAUUUCAAGUUUGCAGCCUGGGUUGAGAACUACCAGGAACAUGGAAAGUAGGAAACUUGGUAGGAGGUGGUGGCCGAGACACAGGCUGGGCACCAGGCUGACCUGUUCAAGCACCUGCUCGGCUGCUUACUAACUGGGCCCCUCUGGCAAGACACUUCUGUUUGAGCCUUGGUGCUUUUCUCAGUAAGACAAAAACCCAAAGUCUGUCCCAUGCUGUCAUCGUGAGGGUUAAACGAGGCGACGCGUGGAAAGUGCUCGGCAGGGCUGGGUGCUGUUCACGAUGUGGUUAUUGUUGGUCAGUCACAUACCAUCGGACACUGAGUCCGGCAGGAGCAGGGGCACUGGGCUCUGAAGUUUUCUGAAAAGGACAAAGGAGGAAAACUCCAUUGAAACAGCCCUGGCCAUCAGCUUAAUUUUUUCCCUGUGAAUUGGAGCGGAUCCCCCUGGAUCCUACGUGAGCUCCAGGAAUUCUUGUCCCAGCUGACUGUGCAGGCGGGGGACAACGUGUGAUUCCAGCCCAAGCGGCAUUAACACAGGAAGGGACGGCGCUGAACAGCAUCAGCAGUCAGUGGGCUUCUCCACGCCGGCAUUUACCGGCCACACUGAGGCGAAGACGGCAGUUCAGAGCCGAGCUCAGGGGCCCUCAGACCUCAUUCUGCCAGACUCUGCCACGUACGACCUUGGGCCCGCGCCUGUUCCCUGGACUGGCAAGCCCUCUCCCUUCUCUGCACUCUCCUGCAUCUUAGCUGAGCCUUUCCCACAGCUCAUGUCGGACCAGGCCUGGCGUUCAUUGCUAUUUCAGGAGCGAUCACCUCCAGUGGCCUGGAGGUCUGCAGGGCAGGACAGGGUCUCGUUCAUUUCUGUGCCCACUGCCUUGACCCUCUCCAGAGAGUCCUCAGGAAACACUUGUUGAAUGACCAGAAGGAGAAACAGCAGCUACGUGGUAGAUUUCUUGAUCUUGCUACCAGAAAAGACUAUGUCAUUUGAACUAAUGAAGUACAAAGGAGAGAGGAACUUGCAAAUACAUUUUUAAAAAUUCUACCAAGUUCUUAGGAUUAGUACUAUUUAAUUCAUAUCUUUUUAUGAAUAGAGUUUCCUGUUUAUUGCUUUUAGGCUGUCAUAUGGAUUAAUGAAUGAGGACUUCCCAUAUAACCCACAGUUUGAUAAACCCGCCUGGAAUGUUUGUUAACGAGCUGGGCAAGGAAAGCUGGCACCAUUGCAGAAAGCACUAUGACCGCCAUCAGCAAAGGCCAAAACAGAUAACGAGAAAAGCAUCCACUCUAAAAGACCAGACACUGGAGAGCUUGCACGCACGUGCACUUGUGUGCCCUGACACCCCUGAGCCACAGGCGGCUCCUCUAGACGGGAGGCAGAGCCGCCCGUGCAAGGACAGUGGGAGGUGUGUGGAUGGCGGUGUGCUCAGCACCUGCUGGGGUAGGCGCUCGUAACUCCGGCUGCAGUUACCAUUACCACCUGGCAAUGACACGGGUCUCUUUUUUAGACUGAUUAUGUGAGGUUAAUAAUGAGUUUACAUAAUAAAGUGACCUGUAUCUGUCUCUAAGCGUGAA